CCCAAAAUAAAAAGCAUUUCGCUCAUCACCAAGGUUAAAAAAAUUAAACGGAAAAAGAUUGGGAUCGAUCAUAUACCCUAAUCUCUAGUUUCUUUAGAUUUCUUAUCAUUUGUUCUGUAUUCCAUAACCUAAUCCUCAGUUUUCAAAUUGAUGCCUCUCAUAGUCCACAACCCCACCAUCAUCGACACUGGACCAUCCAAACACAAUGUCGCACACCAUACCAUCACGAGAAUAGAAUUUCAAAAGCUAAAUUGAGGGAUUACAUUCAGAAAAUUAAAGCAAUUGCUGCUAACUUGGCUUCCCAGGUGCCGCUGCUGAAGUUGCCAUUAUUAACUUCUCGAAUCCUUGAAAGCUUCUUCUAGAAAUGGGUGACUAUUGGCGCUUUACAACUUGAAUGAACUAAAUGUCAGUCCUGAUGCAUCCGAGUUGUGUAGGUGAUCUCUAUCUCAAAAUUUAUUUAUAAUCAAUAAAUUAGAAAUGAAUAACAAUCAAUAUGAAAACAAACAAAAUGUUAAUCAUUUAUCUUUUUCUUUUAAAUUUAUUUGUUUCUAGAUGAUGUUUGUGAGAUGACUUCAAAUAAUAGAGAUAAUAGGUUCAAUUUUCUUUUAGGAGUGGAGAGAAGGAAGAGGUUACAUAAACAAAGAGAAACAAUCUUUUUUUGAAGACUUUUUAUUUUAAAUAUAGACAAUAUUGUUGUUAAACAAGUUAAAUUUGAAUUUAAGUAAUGAUAAUAGGUUCUCCA